rnacentral:sRNA from 1 species
GAAUCUCUUUCUCCCUUGAAAACUUCUUUUAUCUACCUCUCUUGCCCCUGACUCACUGGAAUCCUACAAAUGGGACAUCUCAGGCAGCUAAAGAUCAUCACCCUGGUAAAACUUUGCCAGAGAACCCAGCAGGAUUCACCAGCACGGCCACUGCAGACCCCAGAGCCCUGCUUCAGGCCUAUAUAGACGGUCACUCCGUGGUCAUCUUCAGUAGGUCCACAUGCACACGCUGUACUGAGGUAAAGAAGUUAUUUAAAUCUCUGUGUGUUCCUUAUUUUGUGCUUGAACUUGAUCAAAUAGGUAAGUUUCUGUUUAAUAUGUAAAUCAUAGCUGCUGACUGUACAUUUUAUUUCAUUUAUUCUAUCUGGCUUUAAUUUGUCUUCCUUGAGGUUUAUAUUGUUUAGUGAGCACUUGCUAGUUGAUUCCUCUUUUUGGUCAUUUAGACAGGGCACUCUCCUGGAGCUAAUCAUAUUUACCUUUAGCCUUUAC